CAGGCCUCCUCUCCUCCCUCCCACCUAGAGCAGCACAAGAGAAGAAAGAAUUAGCAGUAGAAUUCAGAGCAGCAGUAGCAGCGAGUGAGCGAUAGAAUCACAGUGAGGCUCGUUGGAUCGAGGAGAUUCGCGUGAGGAGGCCGAUUAGCCGACCGAUCGACCGGAGAUGAGCGGCGGGCAGGAGCUGAAUCUGCCGCCGGGCUUCCGGUUCCACCCGACGGACGAGGAGCUGGUGACACACUACCUCUGCCGCCGCUGCGCCGGCGCGCCCAUCGCCGUCCCCAUCAUCACCGAGAUCGACCUCUACAAGUUCGACCCCUGGCAGCUCCCGAAGAUGGCGCUGUACGGCGAGAAGGAGUGGUACUUCUUCUCCCCGCGGGACCGCAAGUACCCCAACGGGUCCAGGCCCAACCGGGCCGCCGGGUCCGGCUACUGGAAGGCCACCGGGGCCGACAAGCCCGUGGGCACCCCCAAGCCGCUGGCCAUCAAGAAGGCGCUCGUCUUCUACGCUGGCAAGGCCCCCAAGGGCGAGAAGACCAACUGGAUCAUGCACGAGUACCGCCUCGCCGACGUCGACCGCUCCGCCCGCAAGAAGAACAGCCUCAGGUUGGAUGAUUGGGUGCUGUGCCGCAUCUACAACAAGAAGGGCGGCAUGGAGAAGCCGGCGUCCGUGGACCGGAAGCCGGCGGCCAUGGGCGGCUACGGGGGUGGCCCUGGGGCCAUGGUGAGCUCCCCGCAGGAGCAGAAGCCCGUCAUGGGGAUGAACGCCAACGGCGGCGGCGGCGGCGUGCAGCCGUUCCCGGACUUCGCGGCGUACUACGACCGGCCGUCCGACUCGAUGCCGCGGCUGCACGCCGACUCGAGCUGCUCGGAGCAGGUGCUGUCGCCGGAGUUCCCGGCCGGGGAGGUGCAGAGCCAGCCCAAGAUCAGCGAGUGGGAGCGCUCGUUCGCCUCCGGCGGCGACCCCGUGAACCCGGCGGCCGGCUCCAUGCUCGAGCCCAACGGCGGCUUCGGCGGCGACCCGCUCCUCCAGGACAUCCUCAUGUACUGGGGCAAGCCGUUCUAGGCAGCAAAGAAACCGAUCGGUCGAUUGAAGCGAGUACCUCCUAUCCUUGGCGUUUGGGCGAUGAAACGGGCGAGCCGCCAUUGUUGACCUGAUGAAGGGGAGAUAAUUUAAGAAGAUAUUAGACGGGAGAUAAGACAAAAUCAGGUGCUUGAUGACGACGAAGAUUGGAAGGUGGCGGCGAUGACACCGUGGGUCCCCGGGCUCUCACCAGCAUGACAUGACGUGCGCCAAAGAUGCUUCAAAGCGUUCGCCGCAUUGCAUCAUAUCGGGCGGGCGGUCGUGCGCUAGCAAGCAUGCAUGCAUGCAUGUGUGUGUGUAUAUGGAUGGGUGUACAUACAUGGAGAACAUGAUUGGUUCGGUGCAGGGGUUGCUGUCUCUUGAUUGGUUAGUUGCAAGGGUUUAUUGAUAAGUUGAUACCUAUAGUCCGAUGGUAGUGUAAGCCAUUCAUCAAAUGAAACUGAAUAAUAUUUUAUUGUUCUUGCCCCUC
rnacentral:rRNA from 1 species